GACGAACGCUGGCGGCGUGCUUAACACAUGCAAGUCGAGCGGAGCGGCGAACGGGUGAGUAACGCGUGAGUAACUGGCCCCCUCUCUGGGAUGACAGUUGGAAACGGCUGCUAAUACCGGAUAGUGGGGGAUGGCUCGCGUCCUAUCAGCUUGUUGGUGGGGUAGUGGCCUACCAAGGCGACGACGGGUAGCCGGCCUGAGAGGGGGACCGGCCACAUUGGGCUGUGAUACGGCCCAAACUCCUACGGGAGGCAGCAGGGGGGAAUAUUGCACAAUGGGGGAAACCCUGAUGCAGCAACGCGCGUGCGGGAUGACGGCCUGCUGGUUGUAAACCUCUUUCAGCAAUGACGCGGUAGUGGCAGAAGAAGCACCGGCUAACUACGUGCCAGCCGCCGCGGUAAUUC
rnacentral:rRNA from 1 species